rnacentral:rRNA from 1 species
GACGAACGCUGGCGGCGUGCUUAACACAUGCAAGUCGAACGCUGAAGCUUGGUGCUUGCACUGGGUGGAUGAGUGGCGAACGGGUGAGUAAUACGUGAGUAACCUGCCCUUGACUCUGGGAUAAGCCUGGGAAACUGGGUCUAGUACUGGAUACGACAUGUCACCGCAUGGUGGUGUGUGGAAAGGGUUUUACUGGUUUUGGAUGGGCUCACGGCCUAUCAGCUUGUUGGUGGGGUAAUGGCUCACCAAGGCGACGACGGGUAGCCGGCCUGAGAGGGUGACCGGCCACACUGGGACUGAGACACGGCCCAGACUCCUACGGGAGGCAGCAGUGGGGAAUAUUGCACAAUGGGCGGAAGCCUGAUGCAGCGACGCCGCGUGAGGGAUGACGGCCUUCGGGUUGUAAACCUCUUUCAGCACGGAAGAAGCGAAAGUGACGGUACGUGCAGAAGAAGCGCCGGCUAACUACGUG